rnacentral:lncRNA from 1 species
ACCUAGUACAUGCCACUUUCAAUUAAGAAAGAAAACAUCACCCAAAAUUUGCUGGAGUCGGGAUCGUUCAGAUGCUGGACCGGGGUACUAGACUCCUAUUAACCUGCGCACGGAAACAAUCGCACGCUGAGUAUUCCAUACUCAGUGGUAUUACCAUAAUUCAAAUUAUAAUAGCAAUAAAGAACUUUAAUUACCAAACAUGUAACUAUCUAAUUUCACAAAUAUCAAUUCAUUCUUAAACUUUCAUUAAUUAAUAAUAAAGAUACAAUUUUUAUCUAUUCUUCAGUUUCCAUCACAUAUUACAUGUAACAAUUUCAAUCACUACAUGAACAUUAAGUUCAUGCCUUUCAUUUUCAAUCUCAAUUUCAAUCCACUAUUCAACUUUUUCGUUUCUUUCAAUAUUUCAAUAAUAUAAUCAAUCAAUUUAUUUUAAAUUUCUCAUUUUAGAUAUUCACCCUAUUAACAAAUCCGGACUUUGACGGAUACACGGAUUCCAACCCAACACACCAGUACGGCACAUUGUGCCUAAAAUGGUACAUAGUAUUUGAUCAGUAUACGACACAUAAAGUGCCUAAAACGACACACGAGGUGCCUGAUACGACACACGAGGUGCCUGAAAUACUUCACAUAAAGUGCCUGAUCAGUAAAGCCGGCAAAUUCCCGUACACUUCCAGAUCCUAUGGCAUGCCAAUUAUAUCCGACUUAGCCCGACUAGUUAAUAGGGUAUUUCAAUUCUCAAUUCACUUUCAUUUCCAUUCCAAGAUUACUUUUCAAUUAAAAUUUUCACAUUCAAAUCAAUUUACAAUUCAAUUAUACAUACACAUUCACCAUUCAAUUCAAUUCUCAUUCAACUCAAAUAUCAAUACUUACCUUAUAAUUCACUUAUUAAAUAUAGAAUUGAUAUAAAACAUUUAAUAAAAAGUAAUUUGAAUUAUAGUAAUACAAACCGUGAAUUUCUCGUUUUAAUCCUCGAUAGCUUUCUCUUUUCCUUUGUGCGCCGAUGUCUUGGGUUCUUUGUUAACUACGAAAAUAAUAAUAAUUUAUAAUCAUCAUCAAUAUAACACAAUUCAAUUUAAUCCAUGAGCCUAAACAUGCAAAUUUAACCAUUUUUAUACAUAUAAUUCUACUAUUUACUUAUAUGUUCAUUCAAAGCUGUCUGCUGUCUACUUGAGUCAUUGUUACUAAAUCAUUUAUAUCUUGAGCUAGGAAACUCCAAAUUAAGAUCCACUAAUUUUCCCUGAAAUUAGACUCACAUAUCUUCUUACCAUAAAAUUUUUAGAAUUUUUGGUUUAUCCAAUAAGUACAGUUUAUUCUUUAAAAUUGCCCCUGUUCUGCUGUCAAACAGUUCUGACCAUUUUCACUAAAAAUUGAUUAUCUCCUUGUACAAGAUUCGAACGAUGUUCCCGUUUAAUUAUCUUGAAAAUAAGUUCAAUAGGGAUUUUAAACAUAUAAAUUCCAACCUAUAAUUAGUUUUAUACAAUUUUUAAUGAUUUUUCAAAGUUAGAACAGGGGAAUCCGAAUUCAUUCUGACCUUGUCUCACAAAACUUAUAAUAUCUCAUGAUCUAAAAUUCCGUUGCUUACACCGUUUCUUCUAUAAGAAACUAGACUCAAUAAGAUUUAAUUCUAUAUUUUUCCAUUAUCUAGUUCGAUUUAUUCAUUUUUUUGUGAAUUUUCAAAAUCAGAACACUACCACUGCCCAAAACUGUUUUGUGAAAAAUGUUAAUAACCAAAUUUACAACACCAAUUCACACUUUAUUUCUAUUCAAAUUCCAUUUAAACUCAAUUUAGCUAUUAAAUUUUCAACAUAUUUUCCUAAUUUCGAAUUUUUCUCAAUUUAGUCCCUAGUUUACUUUACAUUUCAAUCUCUAUUCUAACUUAAUUUCAUUCAAUUAAACCCCUAUUUCAUCAUUUUGUUCAACAUAAACUUUGUUUAAAAACUUAAAAACUUCUAAACUACUAACUUAAUUCUAUCAAAACCUUGUUUUAAUACUUUUAGAACAUCAAAAUUAAGAGAAAAUGGCAUGAUUGAACUUACCAAUUAAACUCCAAGCUUUAAAAACCCUAUUUCUCCUUUUCUCUCUUUUAUUUUCUUCUUUCCUUCCCCUGCUCGAAUGCUUUCUGUUCUCUUUU